UGCUUGUCUUAGUUUAGCCAUGCAUGUCUAGUAUAAACUGUAAUACAGUAAAACUGCAAAUGGCUCAUUAAAACAGUUAUAGUUUAUUUGAUAAUAAUACAUUACAUGGAUAACCGUGGUAAUUCUAGAGCUAAUACAUGAGCAACAUCUCAACUUUUUUAGAAGAGAUGCAUUUAUUAGAUAAAAAGCCAAUACAUGCUAUUACAGUAUGAACUUUGGUGAUUUACAAUAAUUUAGCAAAUCGCAUAGUGUAAACAAGCGAUAAAUCAUUCAAGUUUCUGACCUAUCAGCUUUCGACGGUACGGUAUUGGCAUACCGUGGCAUUGACGGUUAACGGGGGAUUAGGGUUCGAUUCCGGAGAGGGAGCCUGAGAGACGGCUACCACAUCUAAGGAAGGCAGCAGGCGCGCAAAUUACCCAAUUCUAACAGCAUAAGAGAGGUAGUGACAAGAAAUAACAAUACAAGGCAGUUAAAAUGUUUUGUAAUUGGAAUGAUAGAAAUUU
rnacentral:rRNA from 1 species